rnacentral:sRNA from 1 species
UUGUUUUGAUAUGACGGAUAUACAGAACUCCCAU